UGUUGAAUUACUAAUAGAAACCAAGAAACUAUUGUAGUGGCUUGCGUAGGGACCUUGUUUGUCUAUAUAUUCACAUUAUAAAAACAGAAUUUGGCUCUGUCAUUUGGAAGUUGAAGUGUUAGUCUAUUCUGAGACAAGUAAACUGAGAAAAGAUGGUGAAGCCUAAAGAAGACACCAACAAGAAACUCAAGAAAAUCCCGGAAAGCGAAUCAUUCGAUCGAAUGCUAGCGGAGAUCAAAGCAAUCACAAGUGACAAAGACGAGCAAAUGAAAUUGCUCGAAGAAAGAGUGGUAACAGAAUUCAUCCAUUACUGUUCUCAGAAGUCCAAAGAGAAAAAAGCUUCUUCUUCUUCUCUACCCGAGAAACCAGGCUGCUCCUCAACAACGUCCCUGAAAAACUCUGCAACUGGAAAACAACAACUCGAAGAAAAGCGCUCAUCUUGGAAGCUGAUUGAUUUGAACAAGUUAGAGCAUGAAAAGAAGCAGCUUAAUGUUCAAGAUUCCAUAGCCGCUGCAGAGGAAGCUAAGGAACUUCUUUCUGUGAUUGUAAAGAGAGGUUAUAAGAUUGGGAAGCCAAUGCUGCGAGAAAUUACAAGAUCAAGAAAGCCAGUGUGGGAUAAGAACAAGAAUAACAUUCAUUGGCCGGUUCUUCUUCUUUUUCCAGAGGUUAUGGCGUGCGAUUUCAUUGAGGAUUUCUGCGACACCGACAUGUUUUCAUCUCAUCUCGAUAUCAUAUCCUUUUUUUUUUUUUUUUUUUUGAAAUUUUUCUUGACGGCUUUAGAUCGAUAUUUCAAACAUGUUAUCUGCAUCAAUGAGGUGAAUUUGUUUUUGUUUUUAUUUUUGGUGUUAUGCAAAACAUACUUGUUGUGAAAUCCUGAGCUUUUCUAACAUGUUUUCAGAAAUCCAUCUGCCUCAGCUACUCGAUAAGCAAAACAAUUACACCCGUGAAGCUGUUGAAGUGUACUAUGAGGCUAAGGAAGAGGAUGCAAGUGAGGAUUCUGAUUCUGGCAUCAGCGCAGCUUUCUGGCAACUUUAUUUGAUGUUAUUCAGACAAAGGCUCUUCCAGAUGGGUCAAAAUAAACGAAAAAAGUACACUUGAAGAUGUACUGAAACAACCUGACUUCGUUAUACAAGGGAUCCCAGCGUUUUAUGUUGUUUCUAAAAUCUCCAAAUUCUACAACGAGUUCAAAGCUGGGAAUUGGAUACCCCACCAUGAGUAAAAGGUUGGUGGUCCGUGGUUAUGGGUCUCUGGGCUUGGUUCUGUCGAAGGUAUAUAGGUGAUUGAGUAUGCUGAGUCAAAGAGAGUCUCGUUUUCAUUGCUCUGUGAUUGCUUGUGGACCAAACCACUAACACGUUUGAGGGUUUCAAAAUGAGGCUUUUAUACGUUCCAAACGAUUGUGUUAGCCUUAUUGCCAUGAUCUUCCUUUUAUAAUUGUAAUUUUGAUUAA